CGGGUGCACUGAUCCAGCCGGGCCUUUCCCUCUGUGGAACCCCAUGGCCUUCACUGGCUGUGGUGGGGAAACAGGACUUUUACUUUGAAAAAAUUAGAGUGCUCCAGGCAGGCCUAUGCUCGAAUACAUUAGCAUGGAAUAAUAGAAUAGGACGUGUGGUUCUAUUUUGUUGGUUUCUAGGACCGCCGUAAUGAUUAAUAGGGACAGUCGGGGGCAUCAGUAUUCAAUUGUCAGAGGUGAAAUUCUUGGAUCUAUUGAAGACUAACUACUGCGAAAGCAUUUGCCAAGGAUGUUUUCAUUGAUAAGGAACGAAAGUUAGGGGAUCGAAGACGAUCAGAUACCGUCGUAGUCUUAACUAUAAACUAUGCCGACUAGGGAUCGGACGAUGUUAUUCUUUGACGCGUUCGGCACCUUUCGAGAAAUCAAAGUGCUUGGGCUCCAGGGGGAGUAUGGUCGCAAGGCUGAAACUUAAAGAAAUUGACGGAAGGGUACCACCAGGGGUGGAACCUGCGGCUUAAUUUGACUCAACACGGGGAAACUCACCAGGUCCAGACACAGUGAGGAUUGACAGAUUGAGAGCUCUUUCUUGAUUCUGUGGGUGGUGGUGCAUGGCCGUUCUUAGUUGGUGGAGUGAUUUGUCUGCUUAAUUGCGAUAACGAACGAGACCUUAACCUGCUAAAUAGCCCGUACUGCUUUGGCAGUUCGCCGGCUUCUUAGAGGGACUAUCGG
rnacentral:rRNA from 1 species